rnacentral:tRNA from 1 species
GCCUCCAUAGUAUAAUGGAUAGAACGCAGGUUUCCGGUACCUGAAGUGUAGGUUCGAUUCCUACUGGAGGCA